rnacentral:rRNA from 1 species
GAAUUCACUAGUGAUUCAGGCCUAACACAUGCAAGUCGAGCGGUAGAGAGAAGCUUGCUUCUCUUGAGAGCGGCGGACGGGUGAGUAAUGCCUAGGAAUCUGCCUGGUAGUGGGGGAUAACGUUCGGAAACGGACGCUAAUACCGCAUACGUCCUACGGGAGAAAGCAGGGGACCUUCGGGCCUUGCGCUAUCAGAUGAGCCUAGGUCGGAUUAGCUAGUUGGUGAGGUAAUGGCUCACCAAGGCGACGAUCCGUAACUGGUCUGAGUGGAUGAUCAGUCACACUGGAACUGAGACACGGUCCAGACUCCUACGGGAGGCAGCAGUGGGGAAUAUUGGACAAUGGGCGAAAGCCUGAUCCAUCAGAGCCGCGUGUGUGAAGAAGGUCUUCGGA